rnacentral:tRNA from 1 species
GGAGAGGUAUCGAAGCGGCCAUAACGAGGCGGUCCUGAAAACCGUUUGAGCGAAAGCUCACAUGGGUUCGAAUCCCAUCCUCUCCG